rnacentral:rRNA from 1 species
GGUUGAGCUGCCACUUUGGUGGAUGUGCUUGCCUCGCCGUCUAUUCUCAACACCUGUGCACAUUUAGCGGUUUUUCUCUUUAGGCGGGGGGGAAGUCGGAAGAAGGGGGUUCUGGUAAUACAGACCUUUUUUUUCUUUCUUUCCUUUUGUUUUUUUUGAAGAGAGAAGCUUGCGCCUUUUUAUAAUACCCCCUUUUAAAAUAGUCAAUGAACGUAAAUAAAUGUAGGCACACCGUAAAAACGUGAUUGCUGAAUUAAAAUUAUACAACUUUUAACAACGGAUCUCUUGGCUCUCGCAUCGAUGAAGAACGCAGCGAAAUGCGAUAAGUAAUGUGAAUUGCAGAAUUCAGUGAAUCAUCGAAUCUUUGAACGCACCUUGCGCUCCUUGGUAUUCCGAGGAGCAUGCCUGUUUGAGUGUCAUUAAAUUCUCAACUACAAACAUUGGUUUUUACGAACUGGUGUUCUGUAGCUUGGACUUUGAAGUGUGCCGGAGACCCUUAAGUGCGGUGUAUUCGGCUCCUUUUUAAAUGCAUUAGCUGGAACCUUUUGUGGACCAGACUAUGGUGUGAUAAUUAUCUACGCUAUGGUUUGUGAAAGCAUUUAUUUAUGGGGUUUCGCUUCUAAUCGUCCGCAAGGACAACAACCAUCUUAAUUGAUUGACAUUUUGACCUCAAAUCAGGUAGGACUACCCGCUGAACUUAAGCAUAUCAAUAAGCGGAGGAAAAGAAACUAACAAGGAUUCCCCUAGUAACUGCGAGUGAAGCGGGAAAAGCUCAAAUUUAAAAUCUGGCAGUCCUUGCGGCUGUCCGAGUUGUAAUCU